rnacentral:rRNA from 1 species
CACCGCGGUUAUACGAGAGACCCUAGUUGAUAACUACCGGCGUAAAGAGUGGUUACGGAAAAAUAUUCAAUAAAGCCGAACACCCCCUCAGCCGUCAUACGCACCUGGGGGCACGAAGAUCUACUGCGAAAGCAGCUUUAAUUAUACCUGAACCCACGACAGCUACGACA